CCCCUACAGGUAGAAGGCAGCAGUUACCCUACAGGUAGAAGGCAGCAAAACAGCCGUCAAGCAACUUCAGUGACUCGCCCCAAAGGAUUUAGAUCUCUUUCCUCCAGAAUACUAAAAUCUCUAGACAUCUGAACCAAAAGAAAAAAAUAUCGCCUUCAGUGAUGAAAAGCAUGGUGUGCAAAUCGACUCUCUGGGUUCCUGUGGAGAGAUUCUCAUCCCACAUAAAUAAGUCUUCAGGCGCCCUGGUCAGGACUUCUCAGGCAAAGUCUCUUCCAGGCAGCCUCAAUAGGACACAGCUGCACUGAUGUUAGUCUCAAUUGAUGGAGUGAAGAAGCCUCAUCUUUAUUCAGUGUAAAGCAGCUGCCAAGAGAAAUGGCCUUUGAGAGGGGUAAUAAGUUCAUGAAUAUCACCUGUGUCGUGCAAAACAAUAUUUGAUUUUUUUGAAAGUUUAAAUUGAUUGGAAAGAACAUAUGAAUUAAGUGCUAUCUCGUGAGUGAAAAGUUUUGCUGCAGGGUGACAGAGUGCGCCAUCAAGGUGAUGCAUUUCAAACAUUACCUUCCUGUGACACAAGGGAGUCAUGGACCAAAUGGAACAGAGGAAAUUAUGACCCGCUGGCCAGGAUGGAUCUGUAACAUAGGAAUGCCACACCAAUAUCCUGCAUUCCUAUUUCAGAGAAUAAGACCUUGAGCAAAUAAAACAAACACUGAAGUAGA